AGUGAACGCUGGCGGUAGGCUUAACACAUGCAAGUCGAACGGCAGCACAGUAAGUGCUUGCUCUUACGGGUGGGGAGUGGUGGACGGGAGAGGAAUACAUCGGAAUCUACUUUUUCGUGAGGGAUAACGUAGGGAAACUUACGCUAAUACCGCAUACGACCUACGGGUGAAAGCAGGGGAUAUUCGGACCUUGCGCGUUUGAAUGAGCCGAUGUCGGAUUAGCUAGUUGGCGGGGUAAAGGCCCACCAAGGCGACGAUCCGUAGCUGGUCUGAGAGGAUGGUCAGCCACACGGGAACUGAGACACGGUCCAGACUCCUACGGGAGGCAGCAGUGGGGAAUAUUGGGCAAUGGGCGCAAGCCUGGCCCAGCCAUACCGCGUGGGUGAAGAAGGCCUUCGGGUUGUAAAGCCCUUUUGUUGGGAAAGAAAAGCAGCAGGUUAAUACCCCGCUGUUCUGACGGUACCCAAAGAAUAAGCACCGGCUAACUACGUG
rnacentral:rRNA from 1 species